AAUAAUAUGCGGUAUUACCUGCGCCGCGAAAAAUCUCGUCGAGCCCGGCGAUAGGUAAUCCGAAUUGUCCGCGCGGGAACGACGGGAACCGGAAACACGUUGGAUUUCGAAUAGUAGUUAUCGACGGCGACGGCGACGAUUGUAAUAAUAUCGUUGUUGUUCGUUCGUUUCGACGGUGUUGCGCGCGUAUAAAAAACAAAAAAAAUCGUUCAACUCGAGCCCGGCGAAAAAAAAAAAACCUCGAAAAAUUAACCGAUAAAAAAAAAAAAAAAAACCACGGUGAAUUAUUCCGCGACCGAACCGAAAUAUCCGAGUAACCGUAACGGAGUCCGAACCG